GUGAUAUGUUUUCAUGGUGUGGGAAUAAGACUUGGUGGUCUAAUACAGCUAAUACGAAGGUUAGCAUCACAGCUUGUCUGUAAAGAUUGAAGCUGGGAGUGGGCAUUGGAGCUGACUUUUAUGGUAACUGUGGCUGCAUAAAAGGGCUAUGUGAUUUUACUGUAACAGUAAAGAAUGUAAUUCAGACUAUUUUUGUGUAUGUUUGAGAAAAUGUUUAUAAUUUUUACGAAAAGAAAAAAAAAAUUAUGUACAGGUUCUCCAUUUUCAACAAGAUUGGAAGUUGUAGGUUGAUAGGUCUUUGAAAUUUCAAAAAUUACUUUCUAUUUUCUGUUCAUACUCAUGUCUAGGCAAAACACUUCCAGUAGUUUAAGAAUGGAGAAUCUAAAAAAAAAGAAAAAAAAGAAAAGAAAAAAAAGAAAAAGAAAAAAAUGUUCGAUUAUUGAAAUGUUUUUUAUUUUUGCAAAUUGUAAUAUAUUUUUUCACCUUUGUGUCAUUUUUAGCUGAGUUUAUAACACAGGGUAUAUUAUUUUAAGAAUAUCUUACAAGAAGCAUAGUUGAAGAAUAUCUUGAUGAAAGUAGAUUGAUUGAUUUUUGGUAUUUAACACCACUUUCAGCAUGAUUUGCUAUAUCUUGGCUGCCAGUUUUUAUUUGUGGAGACAGCCUGGUGAAAACAUCCCCUUCAACAGAGAAACUAGCAACUCUAGUCAAUUAAGCUUAAGAUUGACGUUAAACACACCUACCAUGUGAGGGUUCAGAGUGUUGACAGGCUAGUGAUACAGUAGUUUUUGACCAUUCAGCCACCAUUACUCCAUCCGCACUAAAUAUGUUAUUGAAAUGUGUUGAAUUUUUGUAAUUUAAUUAUUUUUUUAUUUUGAUUACCGGUAUACUAUUUAUGUUUUUUUGUUAUAUAUAACAAAGAUGUGGAGUUCUAACGGUGAAAUUUAGGUCAAAGGGAGGUAAUUUAUUAUACUGUGUUUAACUUCAAAUACUUGAAAUUCCCUCAAUGUUAGAUUUUUAUUUACUUGGAUACUCACAUUUAUGCACUUUUUUACAUAUCAGAUGUUUUCUAGAUAAUAGAAAUUUAGGGUGGGAAAAAUUAUGUGUCACUUAAAAUAAUUAUGUGAAAUUUUUUCAAAAAGUUUAUUAAUUGAAAGUGCAUCUGAUAUUUUUUAUGUAUGUUACUUUAUUUUCUAAAAACAAAUGGACACAACAUAGAUUGACAAUAAGAUAUCGAGAAGAACCACCUUGUCAGCCAGGAUAGCAGCUCUUAGGAAGAUGGUCAAUUAAAUCUUCAACCAAGUCUGACUCUUUACCAUGAAAAUAGAAAAGGCAAGUUUAUUUUAGCCAGAUCUUUUAAGAUAACAGACCCUUCUGAAAUAUUGCAUUUAAAACACCAUUGAUGAAUUAAUUUACCAGUUUAGUUUUUAAAGAUACAAGAUACAUGAACAAGAUUUUCUAUUAAAAUAUCAAUAGUAAAUCCUAAAAAUAGUCAUUAAACUUCAAGAAAAGACCAGUACAAUUUAAAACAAUUUUGCAUUCAAUGGGAGAUAACUUUGUAAAAUAUUCAGAUAUUUUUUGUGCAGUUAAAUUUAAAUCUGACGUUUUUUUACUUUUCUAUCUUUUAUAUUGAUUUAAAAAAAAAUGAUUUUAUACAAUUGUCUACCUGCAAUAAGAAAU